rnacentral:misc_RNA from 1 species
UCAGCCUCAUCCCACCAGAAGAACGGUGGGCCUGGCCUGAGGUGGAGGCGCCAGAAGCUCCUGCAUUGCCCGUGGUGCCUGAACUCCCUGAGGUGCCCAUGGAGAUGCCUUUGGUGCUGCCCCCAGAGCUCGAGCUGCUCUCACUGGAAGCAGUGCACAGGGCAGUGGCACUGGAGCUGCAGGCUAACAGGGAGCCCGACUUCAGCAGCCUGGUGUCACCUCUCAGCCCCCGCAGGAUGGCUGCCCGGGUCUUCUACCUGCUCCUGGAUUCUUCACGUGAAACAAGAAAAGCCAUAUGGUCGCCUCCUGAUCCAGCCGGGGCCCAGAUUCCACUGAGGUUAGAGUCCAUUUACAAAGCUGCCAGGAAACCGGCCACUUCUAGUAAACCACGUCGUGCCUCACUGGGUCCUGCUUACCUCAUUUCUGAAUGUGCAUUUCCAGCCUUCUUGCUCUCAGAGCUAUUGUUCAAGCAGAAAACAAGCUGCUUUUAUUAC